rfam:Ictidomys tridecemlineatus contig009368, whole genome shotgun sequence.
GGGGCUGUAGCUCAGUGGUAGAGCGCUCACCUAGCACGUGAGAGGUGCUGGCUUCGAUCCUUAGCACCACCU